rnacentral:lncRNA from 1 species
AGCGACGGCUUCAUUUCCUCAGGCGGGUCCUUCUCCCGAGGACCGAGGCAGCAGGACUCGCAGAGGGACCCGCUUCUGCUGGGACACUGGCUCAGGUCCACACAAGGGCUCAGAAGCAAAUGGGAAGAAGUGAUUCACUUCCCCGGCCUUGCCACAAACCUGGACUGAGCACCGCCGGAGGUCCAGGUGCCUGCUCCUGCAACUUAGCUCCUUUUCUGAGCGCACCCCAUUCUCCGUGAGCUCAUGGACCCCCACACCUCCUCGCCGGAGAGGGCAGAAGGGGCUUGAGGAGGUGCCCCCCCCCCAGCCCCACGGCUGUGGAGGCCUCCUGAUGUAGCUGACAUUUUUUUGUAUCAACUAUGCAUUUCUCCGACGGCAAGGCGAGCAGCAUUGGGGCCUGGAGAACCUGCUUCCCUUUUUUUUAAGAGACAAUCUUGGACCCUUUCUCGGUUGUUGUUUUAUGGCUCAUUUUUAAAUGUUUUUUUUAACGAAUUUCCAACUGAAGUCUUCCUGUGCAACCAUGGACAUGGGCACAGCGGGGAGAGGGCUGCUGCCAUGCCAGCCCACGCACUGGCCUGGGAAGCUAGAGCAGGCGCGGGGCCGCACCGGGGAGUUGCUGUGCCUUGGAAGAGUUCUUUCUAGCAUUUUUAAAAAGGGGCAUCUGUGAAUACAAGCAAUAAUAGCCCGACUCUGCAGUUCCUCCCAGGCGCACGGUUCUGUGCAAAUGUCAGCGCCAUGACGUGGCUCUGUCCUGCAUUACAUGAGAGGGUUCAGGUGCCAGAAGCGAAAAGAAAUGAGGCAACAGCCACGGGGUCUAGAGUCAGUAGGAAGAGAUGUAGCUGGGGGAGAGGGACAGGCCAGGUCUCCAAGCCCCCACCAUGUGCUGACCCAGCGCUCGUGUAUUGUCAAGAGGGGCCUGGCAGUCCGUCCCCCAAGCUACAUCCAGCUCACCCAUGCCCUUGCAGGGGCCACCAGCUGCUGGGCCCCUGACAGGCCCCCACAGAGGAACAAGAAGAGAGCCCUCCAGCACAGCAAGUUCACCCCGCUUUGGCCAUCUCCAUCAGCCCUGCUGCCCGCUGUCACCGAGGGAACAGAGGUCUGGUACGUGUGUGUGUGUGCGCGCGCGCGUGCGUGCGUGCGUGCGUGCGUGUGUGCGAGACCAUGCGUGCAUGUGCACUUAUGCAUGUGUGUGCAUAUGCUUGCUCAUGUGUGCCUGUGCAUGCAUGUGUGUGUGCGUGCAUGCGCGCACGCACUUGUACAUCCCCAGCAACUAAUAAUAGCUCUUGUUGAUGAUACAUUUGUGCCACAACAUUUUCUGUUAACAAAUUAAGCAGCUGUCUGGUGGAGCUGAAGUGAAAACAUUGAUCGUGUCAGACCAAGACAGUCCAUAUGGCGGGAGAUUAUUUUUCUAAGAGGAAGACGGGGCAGGGCAGGCAGGGAAGCAAGCGAACCUCCUGCGUGGGAGCGACUGGGCUCGCUGGUUCUGGCCAGACAGUGUGGUGGAGGUGGAGGUUGGCACUCAUGCAUUUAGUCACGACUGCACCGGCUCCCUCCUGCCCCUGGGACCGUGUUUCUGUACAGUGCAGCUGGCUCGUCGGGUCCCUCCCAUCAGGAGCAGUCUUCGGCCACCUGCCUUCUCAUUAGCCUCCCCGUUCCUUGUGGUAAGCAGAGCUGGCAGGCUCUCCAUCACUGCAGCACACUGAUCCCAUACCCCGCACCCAGAAUUGGACGCUAGUUGGGUGCUUCUCGUUAAGUAGGAUUGGCAUGUUGUUUGUUGUAGCCACGAUGAGCCACGACAUAUGCAAGCAGCAAACAGGGCAUUUUUUUUCAGGGGGCGAUAUCUUUAAUUGGGCCAGCUGAUGAGGUGGGAGAGAUGUUAGACAAGGAUUCGGGCCCAAGCUACCCUUCCUCCGUUCUGCUGUCUGCUUCCUUUCCGGGCCUGCAGAAAGAUGCUGGAAGCUUCAAUAAUAACAGUUCUCCCAGCUUUUACUGGACCAAUUGACUAGCCAUCACUGCUAUGAAGAGGGUUGAGAAGGCAAUGCCAUCUAGCGGUGAAGAACUUGCUGCGAGCAUCACCUUUAACUUGAGCGGCAGGAUGCAGGGAUGAAUGGGGUCUCUCUGCCACUGCCCGGACUCAGUGGCCACAACGGGCAGCGCAGAGUACAUGGAAACAGGGUCUUUGCUUAACCAGUUUUGGGAAAGUACAGGCCUCCUCUGCCUGUGGCACCACGAUCUGCACAGUGAGGGAUAGCGCAUGUGGAUCUGAGGCUUCCCCAGGGCACAGGGCAGCAGGGGCAGGAGGCAAAGGGCCCAUUUCUAUGCACAGCAAAUGCCAUUAGCAACAAGGAGCACGGGGGUAGCCACUGGAGUCAAGAGGAGGCCACUUUGUGCCCAGAGUCCAGGUCAGAAAGACACUUGCCCAUGUAACACUUGGCAGUGCCUCCCUGCAGAACAGCCACUAUCCACAGUCCCCGUCCAGACCAGAUCUGGCCCCCAGGCUUCUGCCCUGCACAGCCAACGUUGCCUCGCUGUUCGGAGGAGCUGCAGCACUGGCUCUUUGCCUGUUUCUAAAAGCCUAGUAUUUUCCCCCCCCUUAUUUAUCUUGCCCUUAGAGGCCACAUUUCCAACCUGGGCUGUUCUCCCUGAGGCCAUGCUGCAGCCCCAGGACCACAGAGACUGUGGAUAGCAAUGGAGCUGGAAGUUUACUAUACCUAGCAGCAGCACCCUCAAAGACACUGCACUGCCCUGGGCAGGCCAUGUCCUAAACCCAGUACUCCAGGCAAACUAAUUAGAACAGCUCAGUGACCAGGCCGAUUAGCCUGCCCUGUGCUAAUUAGCCUGCUGCAGAGCUAUCCUGUGCCCGGAGUAGCACAGCGUGAGAAGGCACCAUGGCUGGACACGACAAGUUUACUGCAUGGAUGCCCUCAGUUCCCCUGGCUGCUGCACUUGCAGCUUGCCAAUGCAUCUGGCCUACAUGCCGACCACAUGGAAAGGUAUGGCCCUGCAGUACGAGCGUGCACAGCCGAGUCAGGAGCCCUACGGUCUUGCUGGCAGCCUUGACCCCUUCCCUCUCUCUGUAUCCACACAACUGCAGCACCUCUUAAGAUGACCACAGGCAGAAGCAUCUCUUGCCCAAUUCCUGAUACAUUUCUUCUUUGAGGCUGUGGGAGAGGAGCAAAGGCCUUGGCUGCUCAGUGGCAAAGCAGAGCGGGUCUCCUUGAGGCAGGACCUGAGCUGAUACUUGUCAUUGUGAUGAGGAUGCUGAUGCUUGGCCCCACAAAUGGUGUUAGAAAAGCCCAUGAGAAAUUGGAAGCAUAAAUAUCAGUGCAAAUUAACCCGCGUGCUUGGAACGCUGGAUCCCAAGCAUUGCCCUCUCCCCAGCGACUCUCCUGCACCCAAGUUCAUUGCCAGGCGCAGCACAUCCUCCAUUCCCCUCCCAGUGUCUCCUGCAUGCCGCCACCCUAAGCUGUGGGCUUCCUUUCUUCCUUCCUGAAUAGCCCUGUGGUCACUUCUGCCCCAGCAAGGGACUGGAGGUCAGGAAGGGAGCCAGUCCUCAAGCAAAUAUCUGGACAAAGAAUUGGAUGCACAGGCUGCUUAUGCAGAUAGCAGCAGGGGGGUCUGUGGGGCUGCAUCCUUCCCCCGUGCCUGCCUCAGGGACUGGUGCAGGGGCAUCAUGCUCCUAAAGGAGCAAAAAAACAACUGUCACCCCCUCCUGCCUGCUGCACAGCCCUGGGAGGCCACAGAUCCCAGCUCCAUCAGACAUGAAAUGCACUGGCACAUGGGCAUCUUCCCUUCAGGGGCUGCCCCUGGCAUCAGCCACUGUACUGGGCUGUUCCCACAGCUCUGCUCAGCAGGAGCAUUAGCCCAAGUGGCCUGGUGCCUCUUAGCAUGUGGAGCAUGGAGGGGUCAUACUUGGCUGUCAGCACUGCGAUGUGGUACCUGAUGAAGUGGGCUCUUCCUGCCUUGAUAGAGCCUUGAGACCUGCCCAAACCAUGGGCUAGUGUUUUAGCCAGGUGCAGAGGUCACCUGGGACAGUGAAGGGACUCCUGGACCAGUUCCCCCUGCCUGCACCUCUGACGUGGCUCUACACAUAUAGCCCCAACGGCCCAAUCUCGGACAGCAGCAUCCAGGCCCCAGCAUCUCUCUAAGGCCCAUGUCCUCGAGACAUGGGCCCUAGAAGCAAACAGACAUGGGUCUGACUCCCGCUUGUACGUUAACCUUCAGAUCCACGUAGGCCAGAUGCUGUACGAAGAGACAAGCACCGAGAAUGGCAGAGUGAAACGGGCCUGUGCUCGGGGCUGUGAUCGUGGUCCACAUCCCUGCUGCAUAUCUUCAGCUGGUCACUGAUAUCACACCAUCCCUCUCCUCUCCCUUGCCAUGUGGCAAGAAGCAGGGCUAAUUGCUAUCCAUUGCUGAAGAUGCCAACAUUUCUGCCCUCGGACUUCCAGCCUGGGAGCUUCUUCCUUUGUUUUCACCCUGUCCCAUCACUGCCUCUGCCUUGGACCCAUGCCCCUGAGCACGCUGAGUUGAUCCUGCCCCCACCCUUCUUCCGAGCUAUGCAUGCCAUUGUCUCCAGAGUCCCUACAGUGUCAUCUCUACAGCAAGUCCUUGUUCAGUGUCUGGUUUUGUCUUUAAUUCUCGGGGGGAGGGGGGAGGCAUGAAAAUGGAGGAGCUGGGAGUUUCCCGCCAGCUCCUGCAGAAGGGUUUCUCAGCCCAGAACAUGCGCAUUUUUAUAUGUAAGAAGCAUGUGAAAUAUAGCUGGGGGAAAAACCAGCGCUGGCUCCUGUGUCAUUUCCUUCCCCCCAACAAGAGGGACGGGGCAGCACGGGGUUUACAAUCCCCAGAGGAUGGAGGGAGCCCCUUUCUGGUGAGGCUGCUCUGCAGUGAGGGCUGCACUCUACCCCAGCUCUGCUCGCGUGACCCGGGGUGAUGGAGGAGGGCUGGGCCCGGCCUGCUUAAUCAGGAGCAAUGUCAUGAGCUUUGCCCCAGGCCACAAGGGAAGAGGGCAACAGCCGCAAGGACUCUGCGGAGACCCUUAAUCUGCACCACCUUGGGCCUGCCCCCAGGGAGGCGUUCGCCCGCCAGCAGCAGGCGAGGUCACACAGCCCCUCACUGGGGCAGAGAAGAGAGCCUGGGGAUGGGCCUGCUGCUUGGGGGCUCUCCACGGUAGUCUCAACCUCAUACCCCGGGGGGCUUCUUGGACCAUUAGGAUUGAGGACAAGGCGAGGCACUAUCUAUCUGCUGUAGCCCCUGCUGUCAGCCUGGCGUCCCUGCAUUCACCCGGUAAAACAAAACAGCAGUCCCACCCCCGCAACAGGCUAGGCUAAGGAUUGAGUUACUCGGCGGGCGGCGGCUGCGUUAGGUAGCAAAGGCUCCUGCAAACCUUCCCCACGCUCCCCCGUCUGUCUGCAGCCACCUGCUGCCUCAUCUCAUACACAGCCAGCUCUCUGCAGCGGUGUCCGUACAGCACCUUGCACACUGUCCCAGGACCAGCGCUCCUUAGUGAAACAUAAUGAGGAAUGCUAAGAAAUGAAAGCGAGUUCAAACCCAGCGUGAUGCUGCACGCACCCUGCACCUACAGACAGCCCCGGCCCCAAAGAGCAGGCAGCCUAAGAGCCUGCCAACAUGGGACACAGGGAGCAGUCCAGGCGAAGAGAGAGAUUUUAAUGUGGAUUCAUCAGCCCCGUGUAGACACGCUUAUUCAGAAGUCAAGCAGCCUUAAUUCAAUUGAGGCUAAUUCUCCUUGGAGAUGAAGGAACAGAAAUUGAAUCAAGAUUGUUUUAAUGGCGAAUAAAAGUGUCUGCACAGGGGCUUAAUAACGGUUA